UUUUAAUAAAUUGAGGUUUAUUUUUCUCCAAUCUUCUGUUAGGAUUUCUUCUCUUUUCCUCUAGGGUUUGAACUUUACAUGAUAUUAGACGUUUUUUCCUUCCAUGGCGCUGUCUCACAAAUCCAUCUUUGAGGAUGCUACAUCUCCUUUAUUUCUUCAUGUUAGUAACAGCCUUGGUGUUCUCCUUGUCACUCAGCCCCUUGUUGGCGACAACUACCAUGCUUGGUCUCGAUCAAUGUUCAUGGAGCUUUCGGCUAAGAACAAACUCGGUUUUGUCAAUGGAUCUCUCACCAUGCCUUCGGAAUCAACAUAUCCUCUUCUUUCUUCAUGGCUCCGAUGCAAUAAUAUGGUGAUAUCUUGGCUCUUAAACUUUGCUUCUCGUUAUAUCUCUGCUAGUAUUUUAUACAUUACUAAUGCGCAUGAGAUCUAGUUAGAUCUUAAGAACGUUUUUCACAAAAGAACGGUCCUAGCAUUUUUCAAUUGUAGAAAUCGAUUUAUGCUCUCUCUCAAGGCUAGGUUUCCGUGAGUAAUUAUUUUACUCACCUAAAAGCUCUUUGGGAUGAAUUAGCUAAUUACAAGCAUGUUCCUGCUUGUUCUUGUGGAGCUAUACGUACGUUGAACUCCUAUGUUUAACAAAAGCAUGUUUUACAGUUUCUAAUGGGAUUGAAUGAAUCUUUUGCACCUACUUAUACUCAGAUCUUGCUUAUGGAGCCUUUGUCUCCUUUUAAUAAGGUGUUUUCUCUUAUUUUACAAGAGGAACAACAACGAGAAAUUUCUAUUGUUUCUUUGCCUUCUGUUGAUUCACAUGUGUUUGUUUCCAAAACUGAUGGAACCAGAUUUGUUAAAUCCUUUUCUAAGAAGGAUAGACCAGUGUGUAAACAUUGUGGAAUCACUGGUCACGUGAUUGACAAAUGUUACAAAUUGCAAGGUUUUCCACUAGGCUAUAAACCAAAGACAAAGAAACAGUCUGUGGCCAAUCACGUUGUCCUUAGUGAUAGUAAUUCCUCGGCUGCUUCUCCCUUUUCCUUUAACCAAGGCUCAGUAUCAACAGUUUCUAUCCAUGCUUCAUCCUCCAAACAGUACUGAUGAGGUUUCUCCUGCUGUAAAUGUAGUCACUACAACUUCUCCUUUUUUCUGGUAUAACUUUUCCUCACAACGAUAAUCAAUAUUUUGUUUUCUCUUCCAUUCAAUAUCAUUUGAUUCAAAUGUUUGGAUUCUUUAUAUAGGAGCCAUAGAUCAUAUGGUUCAUUCUAUUAAUUGUUUUUCUUCUAUUACCAAAUCUGUUAAUGCCUCUGUUAAGCUUCCUAAUGGUCAAUCUGUGUCUGUUACACAUAUUGGCUUUGUUCAUAUUUAUGAACACCUUGUUUUACAUGGUGUUCUAUGUGUACCUUCUUUCAAAUUCAAAUUAAUUUCUAUCAGCAAAUAGACUCAGUCACUGACUUGUUGUUUUUUGUUUUCAUCUGACCUAUGCUUCAUUCAGGACUUGACUCGUUGGAGGCUGAUUGGAGUGGGUAGAUUGCAAGGACUUUAUAUACUGCAACAAUCAUGUUCUUCUUUUUCUAAACCUACUUCAUAUACUCCUUGCUUACUUGAUAACAUGUCUUUACAUGCUUGUUCUGUAUCAUCCAAAAGGUCUAAGUAUGAACUUUGGCAUAAUAGACUUGGUCAUCCUUCUAAUUCUAGGAUAAUAUUUGUGAAUAAAUUUGUUCCACAUUUGAUUGUUCGAUGCAAUCCUUGUAUGGUUUGUCCAUUUGUUAAACAAAGAAAAUUACAUUUCCCUAAUAAUGUUCAUCUAUUUGCUGCUCCUUUUGAUCUUGUGCAUUAUGAUAUUUGGAGACCAUGUUCUGUUCCUACUGUUGACGGUUAUAGAUAUUUUUUUACUAUUGUUGAUGAUUCAACUCAUGCCACAUGGCUUUGCCUUCUUAAGCAUAAAUAUGAGGUUUCACAUGUUUUUAAAGUUUUUUUUUUUUUUAAGUUGAUUAAAACAUAAUUUCAUCUAAAAAAAAAAAAAUUCGUACUGAUCAUGGUGCAUAAUUUUCUUUUUCUCAGUUUCUUCAUUUCAAAGGUAUUAUACAUCAACAUAGUUGUAUUGAAACUCCACACAUAAUUCUGUAGUGGAGAGAAAACAUUAGCACAUACUUAAUAUAGCUAGAUCAAUGAUGAUUCAGUCUCAUUUACCUAUUAAUUUUUGGGGUGAUGCUAUUUUAACAAUCCCCUGCAUUAUUAAUAGGUUACCUACUCCUCUUCUAAAUCACAAACUCAUUUUGCCUCCACUUUGCAAAGAUCUCACACCAAAUUUGAUCCUAAAGCUCGUACUUGUAUUUUUCUUGGAUAUCCUUUUGGGAUCAAAGGAUACAAAUUUCUUGGUAUUAAAAAAAUUCAAUGUUUUAUAUCAAGACAUGUUGUUUUUCAUGAGCACAUUUUUCCUUUUUCAUCUAAAACUUCUUCUCAUUUUUUGUCUCUUCCAUCUAUUGUUUUUCCUUGUCAAUCUUUAACUUUAGAUCUACUGCCUAUGCCUUCAACAGUGUCCUCUUCAAAUGAUUCACCUACUGAUUCUCCAUCUUCUCCUUCCCCUAUUCAAACACAUGCUCCUGCCACUCAACCUACUAUCUCACCAGUCACUUCUAAAAUUCCUAGAAGAUCCACUAGAUUCAAAAGAGUCCUGGUUACUUGCAGAUUUUCACUAUAAUUCUUCUUCUUCUGCACACUCCACAUCAUCAGAUCUUUCAACAAGUUCUUCUUCAUCAGGUUCUUCUUCAUUUCUUUCUUUACAUCCUAAAUAUGAUAUAUUCAAUUUCCUUUAUUAUGCUCAUAUUUUUCCUCCAUAUAAAUCUUUUUUUCAUGUCCAUCACUGGUGAAUUGCACCUGAGUCUAUCAUCAAGCUGUCAAGCACUCUCAUUGGAGAGAUGCCAUGUCAACUGAGAUUGCAGCCUUGGAACACACUAACACGUGGACUGUUACUUCCUUACCUCUUGACAAGAAACCUAUAGGUUGCAAAUGAGUCUAUAAAAUUAAGUAUCGUGUUGAUGGCUCCAUAGAGUGUUACAAGUCAGGCUGCAAUACAUAUUGCUUCCAACCCGAUUUUUCAUGAAAGAACAAAGCACACUGAACUGGAUUGCCACUUCAUUCGGGACACGAUUCAGGCUGGCAUUAUCAAGACCUUUCACUUGGCUUCACAUCAUAAACUUGCUGAUGAGUUGGAUAAACCUCUUGGUCAUCAAAAAUUUCAUCACUUAAUAACCAAGAUGGGAGUUCAUUCCUUCUACCCUUCAUCUUGAAAGGGGUAUCAUGAAUUGUUUUUAAAUACACAUGUCUCUAUUUUGUACAUACUAUAAAUACUGUUUUUUAUUUUAUUUUUGUAACUCACUUACAAGACUUCACUUUUAAUAAAUUGAGGUUUAUUUUUCCCCAA